GGGAGGUGGCCUUCUUUUGCACUCGACAGGGAUUUGCACGCCCAGAAGUGUGCAAGAUAAGUCGAGGGCUACGACCCACUGAGGGGAGGGAAGCGGGGUGCUGGCUUGGGACUGCCUGGAAGGGAUUUUUGAGUCUGCUUUGGAGAUGGGGAUGUCUAAGAAGCGUCUCAUUAGGCCACCUAAAGGGAAAGCGUCUCUUUUUAAUCUCAGCGCUGAGGUGCGCAGGGCAGAGCAGUUCCGGCGUGGGUCGUGUCACUUGUCUCUUGUGCAUUCUGUGUUGUUUGGGUCUGUCACGUCACUUGUCUUUUUUUACCUUAGCUGUCUGAGGGUCAUCUUGGCAUCUGUGAUCUUUGCGUUCCUCGGCCCGGCACCAACGCCACAGGCCUUUUGACUCGGGAGUCCCGACAGGCAUCGCAGUCGUAUCUGUCUUUAGAAGCAUCCGGUCGGAUGUCUUUUAAGGUCUCGUUCUGAGCGGUAGCGACAGCCGCACACCCCAACGAUCCAUUAUAGCGGCUUAGGACUCGUGAGAAUGCCAAGCUAGGUAGCUCAUUCUUACCGUAGGCUUUUCAGGCAUCCGCUCUUGCAGUUCUCGGAAGACAUAGUUUUCUUAGCAUCUUCUUCCUGCAGGGUUCUUUGAGCCUCAUCGGCUCCGAGCUGUCCGUCUCACCUAGGUCAUCUCCUUCCGCAAUCUCUCUGUCCUCGCGGGCAUUUUUCUCGCCAAGAGAUUUUUCUCCUCGUGGCGUCCCCUCGUUUGUCGUGUCCUGUCCUGUGUCACGGGUGUCUGCACGUAUUUGUCCCGGAGCUGCUCUGUCCUGCUGCAUAGCCUGGUGUAAUUGCACAAGUCCUGGAGACCUGCAAUUUGGAAUGGGGGAUGUAGUUGUAUUCUAGAUGGUAUUCCUAGAUUCACACAGGAUGCUUGGACCUGUUAAGUUAUCCUACAGUUGUUUGAAUUUUCUCCUGACUUUCUUUCAGAUGCAGACAUUUAAGGUCUGUGGCAGAGCGCCCCUCCUGGGUCAGGGGGUUUUCCCUGAGAAGGAAGUCCAGGCAGAUAGCUGCAGUCAAGGCCAAGUGUGCCAGGCAGUCCUCUUGCAAGAUGUCUCUGAUCCCAGAUGUCUGAGGCCAGGUGUCAUUGCCGCCCUAGGCGUGUGAAGGAACAGAGUCAAGCGGGUAUCCUCCUGGCAGCCUGUUGAGUCGCAUCAAGAUUUCAGGUAUCGUGAGGAGGCGCAUAGCUGAAGUUUGGAAACGGCAGCACCGAAGCGGAUGUAGAGAACAUGUCGCCGUCCACGUCCGCCUGAUGAUGGAUUUUGUCCGGUCGUCUUGCAAAAGCUAAGUGUCGGGGCCAGUAGGUGGGAGAAGGGGAAAAACCUUUAGUAUCACAGGAGACAAUUAGAUGUUAGGUUAGAGGAGAGGCCCAUAGUGGGACGGGCCCCUCGGAAGCAGAGGGAGAGGGUUUCUCCUCAGCCUCACCAGAGUCUUUGCCGGGCAGGGCAGUUCCGAUCCGUCUUCGCGUCCUCGCGAGGUUUGCGUCGGCGGCCUUCUUCGACUCUCGACAUCGUCGUGGAUCUUUUCACCCGAGGAGCCCGCCUUCACGUCCGGAGCUAUAGCCACGGUCACGCCGUAGUCAUCGCUUUCUCGUCUAGGCCUACUGAGCUUCUUAGGCUUCCUCUUAAGUCCUUUGGCACUAACAUCUUGAAAGGAGUUAAAUUUCAUCAUCACAUGCUAUUGCCCUAGGGCUUUCUUUCCUUUGGCAUCAUCGGCCUAUGACUCAUCUUGGACUAGCAAUCUUGGGUCCAUAAGGUGGAACUGCCAGGCAGUUUCCACUCGUGUCUGUGUUAUGUCGUCCGUGUCUGUGUUAUGUCGUCCGUGUCUGUGUUAUGUCGUCCGUGUCUGUGUUAUGUUGUCCGUGUCCAUUGAUUUCUGCGUCAUAGGCCUUUGUUACAUCUCGAGGCUUUAUCGGCGUUGUUCUCUGCCGUAUCGGCCAUAUUUUACUCGUGUACCUUCCUGGAUAUCGCUUAUUCCAGCAUCGUUACAUUUCUACUUUUUGAGACGGGAAGAAGUACAGGAGACGUUCUCAUCCAUCUUCCUUCUCACCUUUGGUAGCGCCUUCUCUUCCCGUGCCAUUCUCUCGGACUUCUAGAGGGAGCAUAUUAGACCCUCAUCACCUGACCGCAGUAGUUCCGUAGCUUGCGCCUUCUCAAAGGGUAUAGGGCUCAACAAUUAAUCUUCCGGAGAGUUACGUCAAGUCCUCACUUAUAUUGUAUCUACGUCGGCUUAUAUUGUACGUGCUUAGGUUGUACCUACCUAUGUUGGCUUAUACUGUAUGUGCUUAUAUUGUAUGUACUUAUGUCGUAUGUACCUAUGUCGGUUUAUAUUGUAUGUACUUAUACUGUAUGUACCUACGUUGGCUUAUAUUGUGCAUAUAUUGUAUGUACCUACCUUGGCUUAUGUUGUACAAGCCUCUGUCGUGCCACUUACGAUCGGAGCUGCCCUGCCCAGGCACGUAGUCACGGUUAGGUAGAGCAGUUAUAAAACUUUACAGUUCAUCUGUCUUCUAUGGGGGUUUUGGGUACAAAAUUUAUGGACCCGGAGCGGGAAUAGCUCCUAGCCGUCAGAUAGUCACUCGUCGUCUCUGUCGUCUCGCAGGUCCCCGGGUCCCUACACGUUAUCCCGGAAUCCACCGCCGGACAUCGAAGAGCCGCGGUCAGAAGACGCGUCAAAGCGUCAAGGUAGCGUUUCAAGUAAGGGUCGCGGUCAGGGUGUGAGCGGAAGAGCACGUGAGAGAGCGUGAUUGUCCGUGUCUGUCUGUGAGAGCUUGCGUCUGCAGGCGUGAGUGUGUGUCGACCGGUUCUAACCUUGUGCGUAUGGCCUUUGCCUUUCAGGUUUUUCAGCUCAUUUUUAAAUUUAGAAUAAAAAAUCCCCAGCCGGGGGGUUUUUUUUUUUUCCCCCCGGCUGGGUUUUUUUUUCCUCGGUCCCGGCCGGUCCGCGAGGCGACGUUCAUCGCCAAAGUUCGGAGGCGGACCGUCCCGGGACCGGGGUUUUCGUCAGGCAGGAGAAUUUUUUCGGAGGCUCCCGGGAACCACGUUCCCGAGGAGCGUCGUGCAUGCGUGUCGAUGGCCGGGGGUUAGGGGAGCGGUUGAGACGAGAGCGAGGGUGGGUUUGUGCGUGAGCUGAAGGAGGGCUCUGUGUGUGUGUGUUUGCGUGUGUGUGUCGACCGGUUCUAACCUUGUGCGUAUGGCCUUUGCCUUUCAGGUUUUUCAGCUCAUUUUUAAAUUUAGAAUAAAAAAUCCCCAGCCGGGGGGUUUUUUUUUUUUUUCCCCCCGGCUGGGUUUUUUUUUCCUCGGUCCCGGCCGGUCCGUGAGGCGACGUUCAUCGCCAAAGUUCGGAGGCGGACCGUCCCGGGACCGGGGUUUUCGUCAGGCAGGCGGAUUUUUCCGGAGGCUCCCGGGAACCACGUUCCCGAGGAGCGUCGUGCAUGCGUGUCGAUGGCCGGGGGUUAGGGGAGCGGUUGAGACGAGAGCGAGGGUGGGUUUGUGGGUAAGUUGAAGGAGGGCUCUGUGUGUGUGUCGACCGGUUCUAACCUUGUGCGUAUGGCCUUUGCCUUUCAGGUUUUUCAGCUCAUUUUUAAAUUUAGAAUAAAAAAUCCCCAGCCGGGGGGUUUUUUUUUUUUUCCCCCCGGCUGGGUUUUUUUUUCCUCGGUCCCGGCCGGUCCGCGAGGCGACGUUCAUCGCCAAAGUUUGGAGGCGGACCGUCCCGGGACCGGGGUUUUCGUCAGGCAGGAGGAUUUUUUCAGAGGUUCCCGGGAACCACGUUCCCGAGGAACAACGAUUGCCGGGGCUUAACGGAGCGGUUGAAACGAUAGCGACAGUGAGUUUGUGUGCAAUGUGAAGGAGGCGGUCACGGUGGAUGACUGUUGGUUUCUGUGUGCUAUUUUUGUUUGGUCUUUCCUCUAACAAUCAAUGAAAAUGUAAUGUAAAUAGAAAAAAGGUUAUAUUGUGUUAAUGUGCGUUCGUUGUCUAUUGCCCCGUAUUGUUCCGUGUUUGCAUUUGCUGCUGCAUUUCCACAUACGGUUCUGUACGUAAGUGGGAUUUCUACCGGUCAGCGUACGGAUUGUAUCUACGCUCCCAUCGGUAUACAUUGUUUCCAUGUAUUUUGCUGGAGUGUAAAUAAAAAAAAUCAUUCAAUAAA